rnacentral:tRNA from 1 species
UCCCUCUUAGCUCAGUGGUAGAGCGCGUCACUAGUAUGGUCUCCACAUGACGAGGUCAGUCGUUCAAGUCGGCUAGAGGGAA